AGCGAACGCUGGCGGCAGGCCUAACACAUGCAAGUCGAACGAACCUAUCGGGGUUAGUUGCGGACGGGGGUGGAACACGUGGGAACGUGCCUUUAGGUUCGGAAUAACUCAUGGUAACGUGUGCUAAUACCGGAAGAGCCCUGCGGGGGAAGGAUUAGUCGUCGUUAGGGCGGCCCGCGUCUGUUUAGCUAGGCGGUUGUGGUAAUGGCGCAGCAAGGCGACCUUCAUGAGCUGGUCUGAGAGGACGAUCCGCCACAUUGGGACUGGGACGCGGCCCAGACUCCUACGGGAGGCAGCAGUGGGGAAUCUUGCGCAAUGGGCGAAAGCCUGACGCAGCCAUGCCGCGUGAAUGAUGAAGGUCUUAGGAUUGUAAAAUUCUUUAACCGGCGACGAUAAUGACGGUACCCGGAGAAGAAGCCCCGGCUAACUUCGUG
rnacentral:rRNA from 1 species